GCGGAAGUGGAACGACCGGCUGCACGGCGGCCGAGCGCGGACAAAAAUUCUUCGGGAGAAGAGGCGGGGCGGGGGCAGAGAUGGGGGGUGAUGGGGGCGGAGAUUAGGGGUGGGGGCGGGGUGGGGCGGGGAUUAGGGUGUUGAGGGCGGGGAAUGGGGUGUUGAGGGCGGGGAUUGGGGUGGUGGGGGCGGGACACCAGGCCCUCCUGCAUCCGGCACCGCGGCCGCGCGGCGAAAAGUGCUAGCAGUGGUUGUUCCGCCGCCGCCUCCCGGGUGCUGUCGCCCGCCCAGCGGAGCAGGGGAAGCGCUGAGCCCACGCUGGCCCCGCUCCUCUCCGUUGCCGGGUCCGCUCCCACGGGCUCGGCCGCCAGACCCUCAGUGGCACCCGCCCUGUGCGGCCCUCGUGUGGCCGCAGCCCCGCUCCCCGUCCCGGUUCCACAGACGCUGGGGCGCAGGGGCGGCUCCGCCCUGCCCUUGCCCUUCACCCGCACGGUGGAGGGGUCACCGCUCACCGCAGCCUCCGCCUCCGGGCUCCAGCGGUCCUCGCAGGCGCGCGCCACCACGCUCAGCUAAUUUUUUCUUAUUUUUUAUAGAGAUGCGGUCUCCUGAAAAGUAGCCACUCUUUUUUUUGUUUUUGUUUUUUGGGUGGCGGGGGACAGAGUCUUGCUUUUUCGCCAGGCUGGAGUGCAGUGGCGCGAUCUCGGCUCGGGAUCUCCGCCUCCCGGGCUCAAGCGAUUCUCCUGUCUCAGCUUCCCGAGUAGCUGGGACUACAGGCGCGCGCCACCACGCCCGGUUAAUUUUUUUGUAUUUUAGUAGAGACGAGGUUUCACCAUGUUGGCCAGGAUGGUCUCGAUAUCCUGACCUCGUGAUCCGCCUUCCUCGGCCUCCCAAAGUGCUGGGAUUACAAGCGUGAGCCACGCGCCCGGCCUUUUUUUUUUUUUUAAGAGACGGGCUCACUAUGUUGCCCAGGCAGAUCUCGAACUGCUGAGCUCAAGCGAUCCGCCCGCCUCCCCCUCCCGAAGUGCUAGGAUUCCAGGUGUGGCCACCGCGCCCGCCGCUUCCUUGCCUCCUCUCCCAACCAAGCUUGCCCUCCUGUCUUCUGCUUUCUCUUAGACAAACUCAUAUGAUCCUGGGCCCGCGCAGAUAAUCUGGCAUAAUCUCAAAAUUCUUAAUCCCAUCUCUGGGGCCACAAUUCAGCCAACUACAAGCUUGAAUUUGGGGAAUGAGCCAUGGAGGUGUUGGGGAGAGUGUGUUCCUGGCAGUGCAAGGGCCAGGAGGCAGGAGCCAGCCGUCUGCAGCAGCCCCACUCCCGCCCUCCAGGGUCUGCGCCUUCUCCUACAGAUGUACCCGGAGGAUCACGGCGCCCACAGCCUGGCAGCUGCUCCACCACACCUUCUCACCUGGUGCUGAGUGCAGCUGUUCCUGUCUGAGGAGGCUCAGUUUGGAAGCAGCCCCUCUUGGGACUCAGAAAUCAAGGUCUCCGCCUUCCCCUUCCUCGAGAACACCAACCUGUCAAUGAACUUUCACUUCUUACUGCAGUUAGCAAUUUUUAGCAAGUUAUUUUUAUCUAAUAAAAACAACAUAUAGUUUUAAAAACGCGAACCCUACAGGAGUUUGAGACCAGCCUGGCCAACAUGUGAAACCCCGUCUCUACUAAAAAUACAAAAAAUUAGCUGGGCACAUGCCUGUAGUCCCAGCUAUUCGGGAGGCUGAGGCAGGAGAAUUGCUUGAACUCGGGAGGCGGAUGUUGCGGUGAGCCCAGAUUGCACCACUGCACUCCAGUCUGGGCUACAGAAUGAGACUUCAACUACAAAAAAAAAAAAGUGGGGGCGUGGUGGCUCACGCCUGUAAUCCCAGCACUUUGGGAGGAUGAGACAGGCAGGUGGAUCACGGGGUCAGAUUGAGACCAUCCUGGACAACAUGGUGAAACUCCGUCUCUACUAAAAAUACAAAAACUAGUUGGGCGUGGUGGCACUUGCCUAUAAUCCCAGCUACUCGGGAGCCUGAGGCUGGAGAAUCGCUUGAACCCGGGAGGCAGAGAUUGCAGUGAGCCAAGAUUGCACCACUGCACUCCAGCCUGGGCGAUAGAGGGAGACUGUCUCAAAAAAAAAAAAAAAAAGCCAGGUGCGCUGGCUCAUGCCUGUAAUCCCAGCACUUUGGAAGGCCAAGGCAGGCAGACCACAACAUCAGAUUGAAACUAUCCUGGCUAAUACGGUGAAACCCCGUCUCUACUAAAAACAAAACAAAACAGAACAAAAAUUAGCCGGGCUUGGUGGCUGUAGUCCCAGCUACUUGGGAGGCUGAGGAGGAAAAUCUCUUGAACCUGGGAGGCAGAGGUUGCAGUGAGCCGAGAUUGCACCACUGCACUCCAGCCUCCAGCCUGAGCAUCAGAGUUACUUGUUUCAAAUUUAAAAAAAAAAAGGGGGGGGAGGGGGCAAAGGAUUUAGAUGUUCCUCCAAAGACACACAAAUGGCCGCCAAGUACCUGUGAUGCUCGAUGUCAUGACCCCUUGGGGAAAUGCAAAUCAAAACCACAUGGCAAGGCCUUGGAGGCCCAGCUGCUUAGAGGCUGCAGUGAACGAACCGUGAGGCUUCUUGGAAGUUUAACGCAGAGCUCCAUGUGGCUCCGAAAGCCCCUCCUAGGUGUAUCCCCCAGAGGAGUCAAAGCAGGUGCCCAAAGCUAUCCCAAGGCAGGUGCCCUGCCCUCUGGAGUCUCUUCACCCUGUGCAGGAACCCAGCCUGGUGGGAAAGGCUUCCUGUGGCGCAGGAAGCCUGUCUGCAUUGUCCCUCAACACACCCAGCUUCUGCCCUAGGGCUCUGCUCCCAGGGCUGUGUCGACCAUUGUGGGCACCCGUGGAGGGGGCCCUGGGGCUCCUGCGCCUCGGCUGAGAAAGAAAAUGACAGAACCCUGAAAACAGUGACAAGCCAACAAAGACAAGUGGUGACACCAGCCCAACAAUUCCAAAGGUUUAUUUCCUUAAAUUGAUAUUACACAAUAUAACGCAAAGGGCAGGAAAUCACACAAAAUUUGCUUUAAAACAGACAAAGGGUCCAGCACUAUCAAGAGAACAUUCAACCAGGGGCAGCAGUUGAGGCGCCCAGGACCUGCUUGGACACACGCACACGUGGCCGCGACAGAAGCAAGAGGACCAGGACGCCGGGCAAGAUCCCCGCAGUGCCAGCUUCCCAGGACUCAGGAUUCCAGUCGGCCAUGAAGCAAUAAAUACUAACAUGCCCCACAAGGUGAGAAUAAAGCCAUCAAGGUGACGAGGAAGAAGUCACGGGGAUUUUCUUCUUCUAAGUCCAAGCACAGUGGCAAUAUUUCAAGUAUUGCAAAGAAAAACACACGUGUGUGUAUUUUUGUCUGUUAUGUGGCGUGUGACCCUGGAACCCCCCGCGUGGGUCCAUGGCCCCACCGCUGCCUCCCGCAGACUGGGGACUCGUUCAAGUAUCUACUGAUUCAGGCAGGGCUAACCGAGGGCUGGGCAGACCAAGGGAGGCCCAGGCGGGGUUUGCAGCGCGUGCCUGCCUGGAAUCCAGAAAGCAGGCCUCUCUGCGGACGCCCUCCGUGGUCCUGGGCAAGGCAGAGGCAGGGAGGGACAGGGCUGUCAUCAGGCCUACCCUGCCGAGGAGCUGACAUCAAAACUGACUGUCAAAGCUGGACGGGGAGCUUUUGCACAUGUUACUUUUUUCUUUGCAUGAAGUAUUCCCCUCAUCUGCCUCCAGGCCCAGGUGGGGAGGGUGCUGGGCACACACCUGUCCUGCUGCUGCCACAGGGAGGGGCGGCAGGGGACAGCCACCGACACAGGUGUGCAAAGCAGCCUCACCCGCCCGCCACACGCCCCUGCACCAUCUGCCUCUAACCUGGCCCAGACCUCGCCCUCCCAAAACCAAUUCUUAAACACCUACAAGUUUUCUCCUUUAAAGAAAAAUGAGCUGCAUAAAAAUAAGACACAUUUUAGGAAUAAAGUGUGAAAGAUUACAAGACUUAUCCAGGGCUGAGAGAACACGGUGCCUCUGCUGCCGGUCCCUAGAGGAACGCUUGAACAAAGAACUGCCUCUGCCUCUAGCGCAGGGCCCCACACCCCCGGGAGCCAGUUCUCCCCGAGGUCCAGACCUGGGCAGCAACGUGGUCCGGUGCUCAGGCUUGGGGGCCCUGGCAUGUGUCCGCAUAUGUGUAUGUACAAACACCGGGUCACUGCCAGGAAUCACUGCCCAGCAGUCCCUGGGGAGGUCCAGGUUCUGUCUCUAUCUGCAUAAAGUGCUUGGGUGAUUGACAAAGCUGGGUGGGUAUCUCGGAGGGAGAGGCUCCUGGAGACUGGGGGAUGCCAAGGCUGCAGGCUCUUCCUGGGCACAGUGCCUGCUGACCUGUCCUAAGCAGGAGCUCACUUUGGCUUUGAGUCGGCAGCGGUCUCAGGCCCUUGCCUGUCCUCCGGGGCUGCCCUGGGGCUAGAGGGUGGUGGCACCCAUGCCUGCUGUGCCAGGCAGCCGGAGGGCAGAAAUUGUGAUCCCCACCUGUAAAAGAUGGGAGACACCCCCAAGCUGUGUGGCUCCAGAUGUGCUGGUUCUGCCCCGUGAGCUGCAGGGAGGCCAGCAGGCUGACUGUCCAAGCUGUGUGGCUCCAGAUGUGCUGGUUCUGCCCCGUGAGCUGCAGGGAGGCCAGCAGGCUGACUGUCCUUGGGGCCCAGGGCAGGGCUCAGCACCAGCGAUCAGCGCCAUGCGCUUGUCCCGAGGAGUCCAGCCAGCACACAGAG